GCCUGGGUGGCUCAGUCGGUUAAGUGUCUGACUUCAGCUUAGGUCAUGAUCUCACGGUUCGUGGGUUCGAGCCCCGCGUCGGGCU
rnacentral:tRNA from 1 species